rnacentral:lncRNA from 1 species
GUCCAGUGAAUUUUUUGACUCGACACGAGGCAGAUCUUAGCUAAGUAAGUUGUGAUAAACUGUGGGUAAUUUGCAUGUUCACUGAAAUAUUGAUCAGCUGAUAUUAAACUUGAAAUGUUUUCACAGAGCAGUCUGUGUACCAAGAGAACUACUUCUGCAAAAGUUUAUUUAAUUUUUUUUGUGAUGUAUUCCCAUGUGUAAGACACUUGCUUGGCCACCCAGCUAAUGUUAGUACUGCUCUAUUUUAGCAGUGUAUCUUUUCUGUAAUUAAUUCAGCUUUUUCUUUUUUAACCCUAUUCUCGUAAUUAACUCAAUAUUAACGACUUUAAUCUCGUAAUUGAUUUUUUUUCUAAUAUGAUGUAAUACUGCCUCGUAAUAUAAGUUAUUUCUUUGGUCAUAAAUUAUUUUUGUAAUCAUUUCACCAAAACAGACCUGAAAUAAUCCCUACAUGUUCCAUUUUCAUUUGCAGAAAUGACAAAGCCAAAAACCAAACCAUGCCCUUCCUGUCAGGCUCCAAACACCUGCAACAGGAAGACAUGCAGUGGAUGCCUGGGCAGCCUGAACGUAAAGGAGGGAUUAAAAAAAACAAGAACAGUUUAAAAACAGUAACUGGGCUGCCUCUGUUUAAAAAAAAAACAGAAAUGCGAGCAGGGUGGUUAAUUCAGCCCAGUUGUCAGUAAGGUUUCAAAACUACAUGCCCUGGCCUACCAGCCAAUUCUGUUUCUUGGACAGUUUGACCGAAAGGGCCGUAUAGUAGGGGAUGUGAUCACUCAGAUCGAACCAGCGGAAGGUGCUGCACGUGACAUCCUCAUGAAGAUGAGGAAACUUUAUGAACACCUUCUGAGAAAAUUACAAGCUUCACCUCCUGCUGAAAGUUCUAUACCAGCAGCUGGACCAUCCUCUGCUGACAGUGUCGAUGCUGGACCAGUCCCAGACCCAGAGGCUCUAAACGAGGAAUUUAUUCUGCAUUUAGAGCCUGUACCAACAUCUUCCCUCUGUCAGCCUCCUGCAUCCUCCUCUCCAUCUCUGCUUCCUCCUGCACCCUCCUCUUCAUCUCUGCUUCCUCCUGCAUCCUCCUCUCUGUCUUUGCUUCCUCCUGCAUCCUCCUCUCCAUCUCUGCUUCGUCCUGCAUCCUCCUCUCUGUCUUUGCUUCCUCCUGCAUCCUCCUCUCCAUCUCUGCUUCCUCCUGCAUGCUCCUCUUCGUCUGUGCUUCCUCCUGCAUCCUCCUCUCAAUCUCCGCUUCCUGCAUCUCCCUCAAUUUCUACGGCGUACACCUCGGAUGUCCCAAACAAAAAAAGGACAAGGAAAGGUUAG